rnacentral:rRNA from 1 species
CAUGCAAGUCGAGGGGCAGCAUGGUCUCUUCUUGCUAAGACUGAUGGCGACCGGCGCACGGGUGAGUAACACGUAUCCAACCUGCCGUCUACUCUUGGACAGCCUUCUGAAAGGAAGAUUAAUACAAGAUGGCAUCAUGAGUCCGCAUGUUCACAUGAUUAAAGGUAUUCCGGUAGACGAUGGGGAUGCGUUCCAUUAGAUAGUAGGCGGGGUAACGGCCCACCUAGUCUUCGAUGGAUAGGGGUUCUGAGAGGAAGGUCCCCCACAUUGGAACUGAGACACGGUCCAAACUCCUACGGGAGGCAGCAGUGAGGAAUAUUGGUCAAUGGGCGAGAGCCUGAACCAGCCAAGUAGCGUGAAGGAUGACUGCCCUAUGGGUUGUAAACUUCUUUUAUAAAGGAAUAAAGUCGGGUAUGCAUACCCGUUUGCAUGUACUUUAUGAAUAAGGAUCGGCUAACUCCGUGCCAGCAGCCGCGGUAAUACGGAGGAUCCGAGCGUUAUCCGGAUUUAUUGGGUUUAAAGGGAGCGUAGAUGGAUGUUUAAGUCAGUUGUGAAAGUUUGCGGCUCAACCGUAAAAUUGCAGUUGAUACUGGAUAUCUUGAGUGCAGUUGAGGCAGGCGGAAUUCGUGGUGUAGCGGUGAAAUGCUUAGAUAUCACGAAGAACUCCGAUUGCGAAGGCAGCCUGCUAAGCUGCAACUGACAUUGAGGCUCGAAAGUGUGGGUAUCAAACAGGAUUAGAUACCCUGGUAGUCCACACGGUAAACGAUGAAUACUCGCUGUUUGCGAUAUACUGCAAGCGGCCAAGCGAAAGCGUUAAGUAUUCCACCUGGGGAGUACGCCGGCAACGGUGAAACUCAAAGGAAUUGACGGGGGCCCGCACAAGCGGAGGAACAUGUGGUUUAAUUCGAUGAUACGCGAGGAACCUUACCCGGGCUUAAAUUGCAGAUGAAUUACGGUGAAAGCCGUAAGCCGCAAGGCAUCUGUGAAGGUGCUGCAUGGUUGUCGUCAGCUCGUGCCGUGAGGUGUCGGCUUAAGUGCCAUAACGAGCGCAACCCUUGUUGUCAGUUACUAACAGGUUCCGCUGAGGACUCUGACAAGACUGCCAUCGUAAGAUGUGAGGAAGGUGGGGAUGACGUCAAAUCAGCACGGCCCUUACGUCCGGGGCUACACACGUGUUACAAUGGGGGGUACAGAGGGCCGCUACCACGCGAGUGGAUGCCAAUCCCCAAAACCUCUCUCAGUUCGGACUGGAGUCUGCAACCCGACUCCACGAAGCUGGAUUCGCUAGUAAUCGCGCAUCAGCCACGGCGCGGUGAAUACGUUCCCGGGCCUUGUACACACCGCCCGUCAAGCCAUGGGAGCCGGGGGUACCUGAAGUGCGUAAGCGCGAGGAGCGCCCUAGGGUAAAACUGGUGACUGG